ensembl:lncRNA
UUGAAAGGCAUUUAUAGAAGAUCAUAAUGAUCGCAAUGUUUGAGCUGUUUUUGUCCACACAAGAUAUACAUUGUAUGGACAAAAACACUUAUUCUUUUUGUGUUUCAGAAGAACUCAUAUAGAAAUCUGCUAUCAGUUGUUCAGCAGCUGUACCAGCGUGUGAUGAGGCUCCUACGCACCACUCUCUGACAUCACAACUGACUCAAACUAGAGGGAAGGUGAAACCACAAUGAAAAUCUACAGACUAAUGAAAUCAGCAUUACUGACAUAAAACUCAGCGUGAGACAAUCAUUAAAAGGGUGAAGCGUUCAUUGCGAAUGAUGCUGGUGUGUAUUUGUAGGAGCACAGUCCACAGUCCACAAAUCUUGCUUGCAUUACAACGUGAGAUGCCAUAUCAAAACUUACCUCAUGAUCUGAAUAAACAGAGCAAAUACACAGACAAAACAAAGACAGAGUCAAUAGGUAAUUCUUUAGUUGAACACAGAGACACUUAUAUAAACAAAGACUUUGAAUAUACUUAAAAGGGACUGUGAAAUAACUAGGGUAAGUGUACACUUUAAGCCCACUUUCAACUCUGAAGUCAAAUUAAAAGAAGAGAAAAUCAUAUUUUAUGCUGGCCAUUAUUUUAACUGAUUCAGUGAUUUGUUUAUUCCCUGCCAUCUGCCAAUGUUGAGUUAGCCCCACUCAUGUGCAUGCUGUCUCAAGGGACCUCACACAAAGACACCCAAAAACUUUGGAGUUUCAGGACCCUUCAGUAUAUCAACACAUUUCUGCAAUUUUAAGCCAUUUCUUUGUUAAGUAUAUUGAUAUUAUGUCAAAUAAUAGAUAAAUGUAUUGUUUUUUUGUGUAUGAACAAACAGUAUUUUAUCAUUUUUUUUAUCAUUUUCUUUUAAAUGGAAAUAUGAGCUUUUUUGACCUGUGCACAAAGCUAAUCUCAAGGUCAAACCAUUAGCCUCACUGAAUGAUAGACUGCCAAAGAAUUAAGCAUAUGAACUACAAACUCUAAAUGUUUUGUGAUUCAGUUUACAUACAUUUACAAAUAAAUACAUUAUAACUUGUUUUGUAGAGCAGAUUAUUUUCAUAAAUUAAUUUAUUAUAAUUACAUUUUUUUUUUACAUGGGCUUAAUUGGUACGGCGCCACAAAACUUAUGCAAACUAGAGACAACAG